GUUGGAGACUGUAUAAAUUUAUACUAUAUCAUUUCAGUUAGGUGUGUAUGGAGUAGGCAAAAUUUCAAAUUGUUGAAUAAAGUGAGCAGAGACUGCAAGUCCUCUUCUGUGAAUGUGAAUGAAAGAGGAUGGUGCUUGCAAUUACAACACAAUAUGAGAAAUUUGCAUGUACAGUAAGUCUGUGUCUCCUCCCUCCUCUCUCUUUUUCUCAUCAAGUCAGGAACAGAGACGUAAUAAAAAGCUCUCUGAACUGUGGAGAUUCUGGAUCAGUAGCCGUACCUGGUGCUAAUCAAAUCACCAUGAGCUCCAUCUGUCUCCUGCUGUUUCUGACAGCUGUGUCAUGUGUGGAUUCGGUUGAAUUUACUCAGUCAGAUAAUAUAGUGGUGCGACCUGGAGAGGUGUUUACCAUCUCCUGUAAAUUCUCUGGGUUCUCAAUAUCCAGCAACUGUCCACACUGGAUUCGACAAACGCCAUCCAAGACUUUGGAAAAUAUCGGAUAUGUGUGUGGCAGCAGCUCUUCUGUAAAGGACUCACUCAAGAGCAAAAUCAGUUUCUCUGCAGACGUUUCCAGCAGCACAGUGUUUUUAAAGGGGCAAAACUUUCAGACUGAGGACACAGCUGUGUAUUACUGUGCCCGAGGGCCACAGUCAUUCAGAUUACAUAUACAGCUGUACAAAAACCAAGGUCACGCUGUGAUGAGCACCAUUUACAGUAGUCUGCAUUUGGUCAUGUCAAUGAUGAACAUUUGACAAAGACCUGACUGAAGAGUGAACAUUGUAUUGCAGACAUUUGUGGUUGCUAAUUUCAACAAGAAAAAAUAAAUUAAAUAAAAUCUUGAAAAUUCUGUAUAUUCAAGCACAUGCAGUAGCAGUCAUGAUGAAGUGAUACAUAACAUGCAACUUAAUACUAACGCUAAUUGUCUAGUAUGAAUAAAUCUGAAAACUACAGACUUGGAUAGUGGAUUUCUCUUACAAAAACCUUAUGAGACAUGUUACAGACAUCCUCUCAGUGUAACUAGUAAAUCAUCUCAGUCACACUUUAAAAGAUAAAGCAUUUUAAAACAUAGUCACACAAAGUCAUUUUUGAUUAGUGAUGGCAGCUGCAGGAACUCUACAGGUCGAUGGUUCACUUCCUGAAUUUGGUGGGGGUACAGCUUACAGUGAGAAACUGAAAAAUAAGUUCAGCAUCUCCAGAGACACUUCUACUAACACAAUAACAAUUGGAGGACAGAA